AUGCUACUCUCAAAUUACUCACAGGAUUGCUAUAGAAGUCAUCCUGCUAUUCUUAGAAACAGUUCUGAGAACAUUUCUUUUGCUGCACCAUCACGAAUAUAUCCUACUUCAUCUCAAAACCCACAGAGACUCAGAAGCCUGUUCUCUGCCACCUUCGGAUUGAUCAGGAUACCCCAUUCCAUCAUUUUCGAUGAAUCACUGAAUCUUUCCAAGCAAGAUUGUUACGAACACGUAACUACCACCCAGCUGGUUGGUCUGGCUUCGGGUGAAUUACUGAGAAGAUCCAUCACAAGUUAUGUCUCUGUGGCUGCAAGGGUUGUGAUUAAAGUGGACUUCACACAUGUAAUUUGCUCAGGCAGCAAACCUGUUAUUUUCCUGACUUAA
rnacentral:lncRNA from 13 species